rnacentral:rRNA from 1 species
AGGGGAGCUGACAGCAUGCCGCGUGAGUGAUGAAGGNCUUCGGAUUGUAAAGCUCUUUUGUUNGGGAAGAACGGUUGUNAANGAAUACGCUGGUANCUUGACGGUACCGACACAGAAAGCCCCGGCUAACUCCUGUGCCAGCAGCCGCGGUGAUACGAU